UAAUGCCUAUGUCUAAACAUAUAUAAAAGUGAAUGUAAUCUAGUUCAAGCCAUAUGAAUGUUGACAAUUUUAGUUGAUUAGAAACCUCGAUAGUAAUGAGAUAAAUGAGAAUAUGUAAACUAUGAACCUCAUGUUAAAUCCCUAAGAAUUGGGUAUUGGGUAUAAGUUGACAACUCCAAACAAGUAGAAAUCAGGAUAGUAUCAAAGUAAAUGAAAAUGUGCAAUUUGUAAUCCUAGGCGUGGAUAACUAGGAUAAUGAAUAGAUCGAGUGGCAUGAACCUAGUGUUCUUGAAACAUAGGUCGGACAUUAACCUAGUGUCAUUGGACAUAGGUCAAGUAAUUAAACCUAGAGUCGAGUUCUAGGUGAAAAUGAUAUAAAACCUAGCGAAUGAACCUAGGUUAUGACAUAUAGUAAGACUUAGUAGAAGUGAACUAAAUUGUGAAUUUUAGUGGUAUAGUGACCACUAGGAAAGGAUUGAUUUCGACCUAGGAGGGUCGUCAACAUAGGGUAAAGUGAGUAAACCCUCGAGUUGUGAAAGUGGAUUCCGAAAUCCCAAGAUCUAUGAUGACCUUGGUAUCAAGGCUAGGGCGUGUGCGACGAUUUCGCCGCCGAGAUUGAUACCAAGGCAGGAUUGGGUGUGUGCGCAGCGUCCACCACCCGGAGGCUUGAACCAUUGUCGUGGCGUGUGCGACGAUUUCGCCGCCGGAUGGUUAGCCAGUUUGUGGAUCCUACCGCCUGUUGACUGAACCACUGUCGUGGCGUGUGCGACGAUUUCGUCGCCGGGUGGCUAAGUCAUAGACCUAGGCCGUUGUUGGGUGAGGUGCGAUCCGUUCGCCGCCAGACGGCUAGGACAGGAGUACGGUGAGCUGUUGCCAGCUGAGGUGCAUGUGAGAGUUCCUUCACCUCGAGCUAGACAGUGCGCGGACUAUCCGCGAUUGAUUGACUCAAGACCGAGUCGGGUGGCAUAGAGAACUAAGGUAAGAGAUACCUUAGGAAAGAAUAGCCAGUUAGAAAGUGCUACAAAGUGUAAAAAAAGUAAAGAAUUGCUAGAGCUAAAAGUGAACAUUAAGUGGCAAACAGUAAAGAACGAUUAAGAACAUAAGUAGCGUUAAAGUAACCUACUUACAUGAUUACAGGGAUUAUAUAUUGCAUUUAGUAAGGCAUACAUGUUUAAUAUUUACGUAAAUUAUUAUGAUUAUCUGUUGGACUAACAUGUUUUAGUGCCUCCUUUGGACCUGGUGGGUCGAGCUCUUCCCUUGGGUGGCCGUACCCACUGGGAACUAUAUUUAUAUAGUUCUCACCCCCGUGUUGUUUUGGGGGUACAGGUUGCACGUGAGCGGCGCGGCGGCGCGAGGACAGGGCAUAGUUCCGUAGAUAGCGCCCUACCACCGAGACCAGAGAUAGAAGUACCUUGAAGUGGUCAAGCUUACAGAGUAUGAAAUGAAAGAAACAAAUUUGUAGUAAUUUGUCUAAGUUUUGUAAUAACUUAAAGGUUUCUCUGGUUAUGUAAAUGUAAAAUAUUGUAAAUGUAAAAGAAUCUCUGGGAUGAAUGCUUGUAAUAGCAUAGUUGCACUUUAUGUUUUUGAUACUUAUGCAAUCUACAUACCUGCUACAGUUCCUGUUUGGAACCUCUUGUAUUGCAUUGUUUAGAUUGUUGACGCCUAGAACGUACAGGGGAGGCUCUGUCCGCUCGGCGGUCUGUCGGCGUGCCCGAAUCCGACCAAAUAGGCGAAGCUCGGGGCGUGACAUAGGUCUUAGAACAACGUUUUUUAUGCGCUCGUGGUGAGCAGGUUGACGUCGUUGGAUAGUCGGAGUUUUUCAUUUCAGUCUACGUAAAUAGACUCUAGAUUAAAGUGGUGUUGACUCGUGAAUUUUCUACGUGAACUUGCGACGUAGUCGAGUCGGUUAUGGCUAUGCGGACCAAGGUAGAGUGGACCUAAAUUUCUGAGUGUUGAAGUGUUAUCUCAGAAUUGGCGAUUUGGGAUCUGAUAAUCGCGGGACUGUCUUUGUCCGCAAGUUAUAGGAUGGUAUUGAUCCCGAUGAGUUUUGGUCUGUAGAGUUUGGGUUGGUACAUUUUCCCUCGAUUUGUCCUGGUGGAACCGCAGUCCUAUUUUUCCCCUUCUACGGAGGUUGAUUUAUUCAGAUGUAUUUGACCAGUACUCAAAGGUGGUACCACAGUGGUGGAAGUAUUAUCUGAAUUCUAUUUCGGUGGGUACGUGGUCAAGCUUCGAGGACGAAACUUCUUUUAAGGGGGGAUAAUGUAAGGACUGAGAUUUUUACUGUGCAACUAAACUCUCCGUUGACGAUGUUUAUGUGUGUAAUUUAAUUUCAUAAGCACUCGUCAUGUUUCAGGAGAAAAUGAGCUAAAACGGAGAAGUUAUGUGAUUAUUAGUUUUCACUUAAGUGAAUAGUAACUCCGGUUUUUCGGUGAAGCCGCGGAGUAGAGUUGGCUUUCAACGCGUAUCGGACUCUGUUCAUAGCGAUCCAAUAGCUCGUUUCGAUCGGAUCAGCUAUUCUAGAACCAAUGGCACUGACGGAUUUCGGAUCCGAUGCACGGUUUUUGAGAAAAAGGAGUUUUAACAAAACGAGGGUUUCCGCUCUUUGCUAUUCGUGCAUUUUAAAACUCCCCGUGCUUUGUACAAGUGAUCUAGAGAUGGGUGAGAGAUGUUUCAAGUACCUACUGGUGGUAGGAAAUUCAAAUACGAGUUUGAAUUAAAGGAUUUCGGGUUUCCACCAAGGCCUAUGUGUGACUUAUGGAUUAAUUAGAGAGCGGAUGGAUUCCGUCGCGAAUUCGUGACCAAAUCUGACGAAACAAGAUUGUAGUUUUGAUGCCUCGUCGUGCUGAACGCGAUGGUGCAAUCCGUUCUGAAAUCCGAUGAACGGAUUGUCGGAUAUUGCAUGAAGUUUGCUAAGGGGUCGAGAGUGGAAAAUCGGAAUUUUCGCAAAAGUCCCGAUAUUUUAUGUACCGUUUCGCGUAAUCUUGAACGUCGAGGUGCAUACGCGCAUAUUACACGCGUGGUGAAGGACUGGGUAAGAAAUACCAAGCUUCGGAGGACUUUUCUGCACCAGAAACCUAGUUCUAGCGGACCUAGUUCCCAACCGUGCCUAGACAUAGCGCCAGCAGGUCCCUGCACUGCCUGUGCUCGUCCCAGACUCCGGCGAACAUUCGGCCGCGAAAACUCAUGGUUAUCUCCUCUCUCCCCUCCUCGCCACUCCUUCUCCUCUCUGCGCGAAGUUGCUGGGGAAGCGACCACAGACCCUCUGGAAGCUUCCUGGGAAGAUAUCUCCUCCUCCGUCCGCCGCACCGGCGCAUCCUCCCGCGUCUCCACCAGUCGCGUUUCACGCCGCCCGCUAGCCGCCAACAACCCCAGUGGGGGCCACCCCGGCUUCUCGGCAACCGCGGACGAGCCGGCCCGAGAAGACCCUAGCUCGAAGGCUUUGCGCCGCCGUAUGCAACCCUAGCCUCGUCCGGCCCUGCUCAUCUGGCCCUCCGGGGGGGCCGGGGGGGGGGGAGGGGGGCGUGCCGUCGCGCUCGCAUCGCCCGCGCUACCUACGCCGCACGUCGCGACGCCUGCCCGGCACGCUGCCGCCCAGCUCCUGCGGGCCGCCAGACCGAGUUGCGGGUCGAGCCGGGGCUAGCUCUGCCUCCGCGCGCCGCCGCCAUUCCCCGCCGGCCGAGUCGCCCUUCCUCCACCUCCGGCGACGUGCCGCCGUCGCCCCGACCCUCCUCCGGUCGCCGCCGUGGCCGCCGCUGCCCUAGGAGCCGAGGUGAACCCGCGCGGGCUCGGGUUGUUCCAGCGCCGCCAUCGCUGCCUUCCGCCGCUGGCCAGCGUGAGCGCCGGCUCCGCCUGGCCGGCAGCACCCGUCAACCGCGGGAGACGCUGCCGCCGGAGCUCGCUGUCCACCGGAAUGAACCCGUGCUCCCCACGGGUUUGGUGGCUAGGGCAUCAUUGGCCGUCGUCGCCGCCGCCUCCUGUCGCCUACUGACGCGAGCCCCGGCCCCCUCCGACCUUCCGCACCAACCCCUGGCCGGCCUUCCCGCCGUCCGGUCGCCGCCGGCCACCCCGUGCCCUGCCUAGCCCCGGUAAGCCUAGUUUACCUUUCUGCACCUUGUCUUAUGGUUCCGGUCACUGUUCCGGUGAACCGAGGCCACCCCGAGUCUUCGGAAGGUGAGCACGAUGAUCCUGGUUCAGUGCUGAUCAUCGUAGCCACCUUCAUUGGAGUCUGAGAGCCUCUGAUUUGCGAGAUAAGCAUGUUCUUCAUGCUGUGCGCGCAGUCCGCUGAAGUUCGUCUCGCUCCCGCGCUCGCCACAGUGGCCGGCCAUGCUCCGAAGUGUGAGCACGGCCUCCGGCAUGUCGAUACCUAUCAGCGAGAGUCUCGGCUCAACUCGAGUGUCCUCGAUUUGCGCUAUCGGACUGUAAAGUCCCGUAAAUAGCAUGAAAUAAUGUAAUUUUACGUAUUAUAGGGGACUUUUGUGCAAUUGUACACUUCGUGGCUGUUGUGGGUAGUGUGUAAGGACAGUGGGUGACCUCUGGACUAGUUGUCCAAGGCCCCAAGUUUUACGAAAAUCAAAUGUUGAUUUCCGACGCGUUUUUCGGCGAAACCCGCCGACGGAACGCGAGUUUGGUUCAGAAUUAAUCCGACGGAGCUUCGUGACGGAUUGUUUUGUCGCUGAGCCUAGUUGGCCGGUCACCCGUGUCAUUUCAAGGGUUCAGAAAUGACGGGUGAGCGACGGUGGGUUCCGGUGUCGAAAUUGACACUUCUGAGAACCCGGAUCGGAACGUUUAUUCGACGAUAAUCGUUUCGAUGUGAGUUAGUUUUGUUGCUGCCUAGACAUCCAAUUUGAUGUGUUUUGGGGCAGCGAAUGACUCGUGGCAUGAGUCGGUGCCUUCCGGGAUAGUUAGUGGGUCCCGGCGGAGUCCCGGUGCGAUUUUCGGGACUUCCGGCGAGUUACGGUAAUCGGUAUUGGGAAACCGAUCUCCGUGAGAUUGUUUGUGGGUUAUGCUUUUAGGGUUUCUUAGCUGUGGGUUAGACACUAACCCAGUGGACCCUCCUUAGGUCCGGUUGACGUUCUUUUGCAGUCAGGAGACAGGCGCGACAGUUGUACAAGUGGGUACUUCGAUCCGACGUCGGUACAGUGGUGCACGCUCAGUGAUGGUUUCUUAUCUUUGUUAUCCCGUUAUUAUCUGGCAUAUAUAUAUAUAUAUAUAUAUUGAUAUAAAGUGUUGAGCCUUGCACCUGCAUUUAUAUCUGCAUUCCUCUAUUCAGUUNAUGACAUGAUUGGUCGAGUUUCAUACUCUAUACUUGUGACCUGGUUGGUCGAUUAUAUCUUCAUUCCUCUACUCAGUUAUUUCCAUGUUGAUAUCAUGCUUAGGAGUAGAGUUGACUUAUCUGUUCACUAUAUUUGUGAUUUGGUUGGGCGGUUCCCUAUUUGAUAUCUAUGACCUAUUCGGUCGAGUUGCUACAGUUCUAUCUUGACAUAUGUAGCCGAUUAGUCGCUGAUGGCCUAUACGGUUGGUGUGCCCUGAGGGGCUGGAUUGUCGGCUAGUUGUCGAUGGAUGAUCUUUGAGCAUACUACAUUGAUCGCCACUGCAGGUACGCAUUUCACGAACACCAGCAGUUUGAUCCACUGCAAGAGGGUGUUCUUUUCCGGAAAAGUGGUUGGAUUGCCAACCCGUGAGCCCAGGGGCUUUAUUGCGAGGGUAUAUGCUUCUGACCCAGGGGCUUCAUUGCGAGGGUCAGGUACAUGUUUUCUGACCCAGGGGCUUCAUUGCGAGGGUCAGGAAAAAGGUGAGCAGCGUGGCAUGGCCUGAGGUCUCGGACCAAUAGGGCAGUGAGAAUUAGGUCUUUUGAGGUUAUCGUUAGUUGACGCAUGCAUACAGUAGCUGUUAGUGUUUAUUUCCAUACAUCUUAUCUGUUUUAUUGUAGCUACUGUUUUAUUUACCUGCAUCUAUACUUGUCAGCUCUUACAUAUCUCUUCGUUUACUAUGGUUCCUACUGUAUUACAUGACCCCCGUACUGUUGUUUAGCUCUUCCUGAUCUGGUGAGUAUCCUCACCUUCAUCGGCUUGCGACGGUACCACUGGGAGGGGAGACAUGUUUACAUGUUCUCACCUCCCCCAUUUUUCAGAUCGCAGGCAAUGAGUAUCGGGAUGAGACGUUGAGAGUACGACGUAGUAGUCAGUCGACUAAGAGCUUCACGAUACCCAGGUUACUUCGGUUGAGCUUUUUUCCUUCUUAUUUCGGUUGAUGUAUAGUUUAGUUGGUUUAUGUGGUUCAGUGUUUAUUUACAUUUGAAAAUGUGGAUUUCUGGAUUUUGUGAAAUAAAAGGUUUUCUACCCCUCGUGGUAGCGUUUCUAAAGAAUAAAGGUUUCUGUGUAGGAAACAGUUUUCAAAAGAUUUUUAUGGAUUUAUGUUUAGACAUUGAAUGCAAAUCUGUGAUGUGAAUGGUGAAUGUAUGAAUGUAUAGUGAUUUCUAUAUUCAUUUAGUUGUGGUUGUAUCCUGUUUGUACUGUUGUACUUGUGCGACGCCGUGCAAAUACAGAGGAGACUCUGUCCGUGUGAACAGUGGAAUCCCUGUAUCUGUGGCAGGUCUAGGUUUUCAAAAAAAAAAAAAAAAAAAAAAAAAUUUAGACGCAUUUCCGCUAUCUUUUAAACUCAAAGGGACCCCGGGGCGUGACAUAUUUUCUUUCCCGCUUUUAGUAGUUAUUUAAAUGAAUGGUUCAGUUAGCUGAUUUUUAUUGAUGAUUGCUUGAAUGCUGGUGAUCUGGUUUUAGUAGAUCUGUGGAUGUUUUAUUAUGCAUGUAAUUGGAUUUUAUAUCUAUGGUUUUGGAGUUUAUGGAUCUUCAGUUUUGAGAUGUUUGUAUACUUUGUGGUUCUCGGAUUUGCAUUUAUGGAUUUAUGCAUUGUGGAUUUCUACCCUUCGAGGUAGUCGGUUUUCAAAAUAGAGUUUCCGUGUGGGAAACAGUUUUAAAAUAAUUUUCGAAUGGUUUUCACGAAUGUUUGAAUUAGAGUUUAAAAACAAAAGCUUCCGUGUGGGGAGCACUUUUAAAUAGGAUGUUUGUUGUACUGUGCAUUGCAUCAUCCAGCGCCUAAGGAGCGUUUAGAGGCAUGUAUCAUCUCUAAGAAUCGUUAGCUGUAUGAAAAUGCAUAUUAUGAAUUGACUACUGAUUGGUAAAUGUAGGUUGUGGUUGAGAUCCUGUUGUAUCCGUUGGUACGCCGUGCAAAUACAAAGAAAACUCUGUCCGAGUGGACAGAGGAACUUUGUAUUUGUGGCGGGUCUGUACGUCACUUGGGCCAAGUUGAAAAAAAAAAAACGACACGUUUUCUGUAACUCUGAUUUCAAAAUGGUAAUGGAUUUUAAAAGGUUUUUAAAUUCGGCCCCGGGGCGUGACAAUUUUGUUUUCUAUUUUUCACACUAUUUCUUUUCCAUUCUUCUUCCUCUUUCUCCUUCCUCUCAUUCUCCGCCGCAGCCUCCCACGCGCCCUCCUUCCUUUCGUCGUCGCACCUAGUGCAUGCAAUAAUUCUGUCCAAAAUCCCCCAAAAGUCCUAAACCUUUAAAUUCACUUUCUCUCUGUUACUAGUUACUACUCCAUUGUACUUCCUUAAACUCCGUCGAAUUCAAAAUAAACACCCAAAAGGAACGUUCUCUAUUCACCUUCCUCUCCCGUUGUUGUGCUCAACGUGCUUUUGAUCCUCUCCGUUUCCCCUUCUCUAUCUGCGUCUCCACCAUCGCCAUUGUCGUCGUCGUCGACGAUGUCGGUGGUGGGUAGGUUAGAGUGUGUGGUGUGCGUAGGGUGCUCGCGCUGGGCGUGGAAGCGCCUCAACUACGUCGUCGCCUACGACAACGAGUUGUGGCUCCUGUCCUCGGCCGCGGAGUUCGCCCCCAUCCCCCGCACGUGCCGCGCCAUACUCGGCAUCUAUGCCUGCGACCUCGCCAACCCCAGCGUCGCCCCCUCCCUCGAACCCUCCUCGCCGAUCCCAGCUUCGCAGCUGUCGCUGCGGGGAAGGAGAAGGAGGGUGCGGAGGAGGCGGCAACGGCGAAGGGGAAGGAGGGCGCGGGGGAGGCGGCGGCUGCGAAGGGGAAGGAGGGCGCGGGUGAGGCGGCUGUGGGGAAGGAAAGGCUGGCGGCGUGGUUGUGACGGAUGCGCGCCAUGGGGUUCCCUGACGACGUGCGCUCGCUCCUGCACUUCCACCGCCCCUCCAAUCCUCUUCUCUGAAUGUGGAGGAUGAGGAUGAGGAUGAGAGGAAGGAGAAAAAGGAAGAAGAAUGGAAAAGAAAUAGUGUAAAAAAUAGAAAAGAAAAUAGUGUAAAUUCGAUCAAAAUAGUGCAAUUUUGUUCUAAAUAGUGUAAUUUUAUUUUAAAGAGUGUAAUUUUUUUUAAAAGAGUGCAAUUUUUAUUUAAAAUGGUGCAAAAAAUUUUAAAACAGUGCAAUUUUUUUUUUAAACAGUGUAAUUUCAUCAUCUUCUUUUUUCUUCCAUUUUUUGUCUUUAUUUUUUUAUUAUUUUUUUCUAUAAUUUUUUUUUCAUGCCUCUCUGCCAACGACCACUGCGCCGGCGAUGACGUCGCUAAGGUCUUCCCGCUUCGAGGCUGCGGCGUCGUAGCGACCUUCGCGGCGUCAGCGUCGGCAGAGAGGUGGUGCCGCUCACGUCUCUGCGCUCCUCCCCCGCGACUCUGACUAGCUCCGGUCGAGUCCGCAUCUCUUCGUCGUCGUCUCGCGUUGGCGCGCCGACGGAGAAGGAGAAGGAAGAAGAAGGCCGCGGUGGAGCAUGUCGUCGAGCAGGGAGGUGGCGGAGCGGGCAUGGCUGCGGCGGCAGAGGGCCUAGGCGAGGGCGCGGUAGGAGGAGGGGUCGAGGGAAAGGCUGAGGCGGGGAAGGCGGGCUCGUCGCCGGCGACGUCGCCGAAGCGGGCGAGGGCGCCAUCGCCGGGGCAGGGGGUGUGGCGUUUCUGCUUCGUGUUUUUUUUUUUCCGUUAUUUUUUUUUUUAUCUGGGAAGUAGAAAAGAAAAAAGAACAAGAAAAAAAAGAGGAGAGAGAAAAAGGUACAAGGGUAUUUUGGUUAGAUGGCUGAAAAAGCGGACCGAAUUUGCAAAAAUGAAAAAGGUAGCCCGGUUUUGCAAAAGUCCAAAACUAGUGGAUUUUUUAUGCAAAUUGGCCAUGAAAUUUAGAUUAUUUUGUGAUUUAAUUUAUUAGUUAAUUUUUUUCUAGUUCGAUGAGAAUUUUUUAUAGUAAUAACUUGUUGAAAUUUGCGAUGGCUAAUAGAUCAGAAACCACUAUUCCGAUGGAAAAGGUGUGUGGUAUUAUCUCAAAUCUUAUUUUUUGAUAUUUGAUGAUUUACAUUUUCUUUUAUUUUAUGAAAUUCGCUAACCAUGUUCUUGGUUUUCACCUUAAUUUUUAGGAUAGUAAUGAUAUAUUAUUCUACUUACAAAUAAUAAUGCAUGCUUGUGUCAAUUUUAAAGAGUUCAUUCUUGUGGUAUUAAUGUUUUUUAGGCUUUCAAUUAUGUUUUUCAUGGUUUUCACCUUAAUUUUUAGGAUAGUAAUGAUAUAUUAUUCUACUUACAAAUAAUAAUGCAUGCUUGUGUCAAUUUUAAAGAGUUCGUUCUGGUGGUAUUAAUGCUUGUUAGGCUUUCAAUUAUGUUUUUCAUGGGUAUCUUGUAAUUAGUUUGUAUUUUUAUCUUGCCAUCAAAUAAUUAUCUAUUCAAUAGCAAGAGUUUUGCGGUGCCUUUCUUUUCCGGCAAAAUAUCUUUUCUUUUUCUCAUGAAAAGAUUUAUUAUUGAAAAAUACUUCUUUGUUUUCUUGUUUAAAAAAACAUUUCCAGCAAUAAGCAUGUCAAAUUAGUUCUGAUGCUCCACUCUGAUCACGACAUUUAGUUUUGAUUUUUUUUUUUUUUGAAAUUUAUGAUGGCUAAUGAAUUCAUAAAUAAGAUUCUAAUGGACAAUUAAGGUGUGUAGUAUUAUCACAAACUUUUUUUUUAUUUUUUGGAUAGUUUCAUAAUUAAUAUUCUUUUUUUUUUAAUGAAACUAUGCUAACAUUCUUUUUUUUUCACCUUUAUAACCGCAUUACUGUUUAUUCUUAUUUUUAGGGUGUUGAAAAAAAUGAAAUAAGUAUUACAUGUUCCCCCAGACGUUUUGGAUUAUGCAUCGACAAGUUAAAUGAUGUCCAGAAAGCAGCUAUUCAGAAUUUGGGUUUGAGUCGUGCUACCCAUACACCCCAUAUUGAGUUGUAGAUCCUACAACUAUUGGAUCCAACGGCUGACAUAAUGUAAGGACUGAGAUUUUUACAGUGCAACUAAACUUUCUGUUGACGAUGUUUAUGUCUGUAAUUUAAUUACAUAAGCACCCGUCAAGUUUCAGGAGAAAAUGAGCUAAAAUGGAGAAGAUACGCGAUUAUUAGUUUUCACUUAAAGUGAAUAGUUACUCCGAUUUUUCGGAGAAGCCACGGAGUAGAGUUGGCUUUCGGCGCAUAUCGGACUUCGUUCAUAGCAGUGCAAUAGCUCGUUUCGAUCGGUUCAGCUAUUCUGGAACUACUGGCGCUGACGGAUUUUGAGUUUGACGCACGGAUUUCAAGAAAAAAUCCAAAAAUACAUGUUUUAUAUGUAAUUGUGCGUCAUUUUGGCCUUUCGGAGAGAGAACGGAUUUCGUCGCGAAUCCGCGAUCGUUUGAGGUGAAACGAAAUCGCAGCCUCUUUGUCUCCGAGGUGCUGAUCGUACUGGUGCGAUUCGUUCGCAAAUCUGACGGACGGAUCUGCGGAGAUCGCACGUUGAUCGAGGAGAGGUCGGUGUUGGCAAAACGGUAAUUUCGCAAAAGUCGCGAUAUUUUAUGUACCGUUUCGCGUGGGAUCGUACGUGGAGGGGUGUUCGCGCGUUUUACACGCGCUGUGAAGGACUCAGUAUUAAAUACUGAGGUUUGGUGGACUUAAUUGCAAAGUUGCACCAUGUAUAUAAGCUUGUUCUAGGGUUUGCUCAUUGGAAACCCUAACCCUAGCCUUGCCGCAGCACCCAGCCACCCUCACCUCCCUCCCCUGCCCUAGCCAUGCGCCCAGGCCGCCGCCUACUGAACCCCGGCCGGCCAGCCACCGCCGCAGCCACCUUUCUUCCUCCCUCUCCAUCUCUCUCUCCAUCUCUCUCUUUUCUUCUCGGGUUAGAGCCCAGGCCGAGGCUGCAGCGGCCUCCCUGCACCUUGCCGGCGUCGCCCCGACCUCAUCGAAGCGUCCCCGUCGACCGCCGCCGUCGCCGAGCGCCGCCGCACCUGAGCUGGCCGCCUGCUGCUCCCUAGGUCGAGCCCAGACCUAGGCCUGCGUACGGCCUCCCCGCGGGCCGCCGCCGCCUGAGCCCGCUUCCGCUGCUGUCCCCGCACCCUCAGCGACCCUCCCCGCCGGUCGCCGCCACCCCAGCGAGCCGCCGUCGCCGCCUCGGCCAGCCCGCGGCCGCCCCAGACUUGUGCGGGCCGAGGUGAGCUCGCGGCUUCUUCCUCGCGCUGCCACCGCCCGGAGCCAUCCGUGCCGCCUCCCUCCGGCCUCAGGCAACCCUCCGCCGCCGUCCCCGAGCGCCCCAGCCGCAGCCGUGGCCGCAGCUGCCCUUGGAACCGAGCCCUAGCUGGUGUGGGCUCGGUUUGCUCCGCCGCCGCUGCCACCACUUCCAGCCACCACCUGAGGUGAGUACCUUGUUCCUUCCCUUCCCCGCACCCAUCCCUAGCCCGCGCCCACCUCGCCGUGCCGCCGGAAGUCGGCCGGAGCAAGCUUGCUCCGACCAAGCCCGAAAUAGGGCUUAGUUGAGUGGGUUUGAUGUUCUGUGCUUUUCAAGGCUUUCCGACCUCUGCGGAAGGGAGCACGAUGAUCGCGACUCAUCGCUGAUCACCGUGCUCACCUUGGUUUCUGUCGAGAAGGCCCCGAUCUGCUAUUUCGGCGAUGUCGCUCCGUUUGAGCCUUUUUGGCUACCAUUUCCGGUUUGUGUGCGUUGUUCCGGCGAUCCGAGGCUGUCCUUGUGAGAUAUGGAUCCCGAGGAUCUAAAAGGUGAAAAACACCUAGAGGGGGGUGAAUAGGUGUAAACGGUAAAAUAAAAUAAACUCGAUGCGAAUAUAAAAUAAAUGCGGAAAAUAAAAUCAGCACACUGAGAAUUAACGUGAGAAAACUCCAAAUCGGAGAGAAAAACCCACGGGACCGAUCACACAAAGAAAUCCACUAAGAAAAUAUGAGUACAAGUGAUUUAGCAAAAAUACAAGACUCAGAAUACCGAAUCCUCGUUGUAGAUUAUCUUUGCUGGUCCACGAUCGCUUGGAACCCUCCAACCGAUCACACUGCAAGUCCUUGCAGCCGCACACGCCUCGAUUCCACGAAACGCCCACCGAAUCCACGGUCUCCACGCGAGAUCCACGCGCUAAAGCUCCAUCCGAAGCUCGUAGAAGUUCAACAAUUUGUGGUGAUUAAAGAUCUUUGAAAGCACAUAUAAUGUGAGGAGAAACUCGAAUUAAAAUAUCAUCAAUUUGAUCCUUAACUAAAAUUUGAAUCAAAACGAAGAAUCAAAUUGAUGAUCUAAUGCUUGAUGUUUUAAAAACAUAGAACCAAAACUCCGAAUCAAGCCGUUAGGGUUUUUAAAAAGUUAUCUCGCUCAACUCUCUUCAAAUAGAGAUCCUCAUAUCAUAUUUAUAGGUUUAGAAGACUUCUAGAUAGAUUAGGAUUCCAAAAACUCAAUUUUAAAAACUGACGACGGUCUCAGGGUCCGGUCCUUUCGAGGAGACCGGUCCUUGGGAGACCGGUCCUCCAAGGUGAGGUCCGGUCUUUCGCUGCGUAGAUGUCAAAAUAUGCGUACGGGGACCGGUCCUCAAUUCAGAGACCGGUCCUUCCCUGCGCAACAAGGAAAACCACGUACGGGGACCGGUCCUCAUGAUCAGAGACCGGUCUCCCAAACCUUCUACGCAGAGAAGCUUGAUGGGUCCGGUCCCUCUGAUCAAGGACCGGUCCCCGACCCCUGAGUUUUUCCAGAAAACUUAAGUUUGAAUAAACAAAAAGGAAACCAAGUCUUCUAAACAUCUUUUAACAAUGAAAACUUCACCACAAAUUAUUUAUAAUCAUACCUGAGUUCUCAAGGGUCUUUGAUCACAAAAACUUCAAUUCUUUUCGUCAAUCUUCAUCUUCUAAUUCUUCGAGACUCCGUCCAAACCUUCACGAAAUUCGCCAACUUAUAAAAUCCUUAACAAUCUUCCCCUUUGGCGAUUUCGUGACAAAAUACAAAAAGAAUUUACAAUGCUUAUCCAAAGACAAAAAUAAGAAGGUUAUCGCAAUCACCAAACAACAACCUUCUGCGUGAUCGAUCCAAUAAAAACAGAAUUACAUUUUUAACAUCCUAAUACAGACUCUAUGACUUAGGACAUGACAUAGAGUCUCGAAGUCUUGAAAUACCCUGCAAAACAAUCUCCACACACUUCAUCAAAAUUUGCAAUGAAUUCAGUUAUAAGUCAAGAGUUCAAGCAUAGUUACAUCCUAAGCAAAGUUCACGCAUAGUUACAUCCUAAGCAAAGUUCAAGCAUAGUUCAUCAAGCACAUAAAGCAAAAAGCACAAGCAUGCAAGCAUAGUUACAUCCUAACAAGCAUGCAAGCAUAGUUACAUCCUAACAAGCAUCAUCAUCAUCAUCCUUCCCCUUUUUGUCAAGAAAACGCCAAAACGACCAAAAGGAGGAAACACCAAAAGAUCUCAGUCGGAAUCAGCACCAGGCGCAGGAAGAUCCGCGCUACAACACCCUAGUUUGUCAAAGAUAGCUCGCAUCAUACGACGAAGCUUGCCCACUUGCCGAGUGAGGCGCUCCUGCUCGGCAACCAUGCGAGCCUGAUCCUCAGAAAUCCGUCGAAGUUCGCCCGAGAUGCGUUCUUGCUCUAAAGAUAACCUUUGUUGUUCCCGAUAAACAGAAGAGACGGACAUUUCUUCCUCAGACACCUCUGCCGAAGGACGAGAAGGACCAGGAGGUGGAGUGGAACGCUGCUGAGACGAACGUCGUGGAGGAGAGCGCUGCGACUGAAGCUGCACCGAAGAUUUAAUGAACGUAGUCUCACUAAUCACGCCCAGACUAUGUUCAUAUGACGAACAUCUCGUGUCCACAUCAAACAUCCUCAGAAUCCGCAUAAUGAUUAAUGGAUAAGGCAACCUCUCUGACUGACUAGAAGUCUUGAUGUCUUUAGCCAUACGGCGCCAAACCAAAAAUGGAACAUUAAGAUUGAUCUUCCUAUCACGAACCACAUUCGGCUUACCCACCAGAUACAUAUAAAGCAUGCGAUCCCAACGCACCACCUUCGUGUUAGCCAACGGCAUUAUAUUGUAGCAGACCACAAAAUUCAGGAAACGAUACUCGAUCUUCAAUUCCUUUGACAUUACACAAAUGCCGUUCGGUUCAACGUUGGGCAAACAUACGCCAUUCAUAACCAGACGCCAGUCUCGCACCGCAUCAAAACCAGCAUGCAAGUAUUCAGUGCCAUCAGUCCGAGCCUGCAUACCAAGAACAGAAGCAAUAGUUUCAGGCGUAAUUGUCAACUCGAUGCCACGCACUGAGGUCUUAAAGAUGAACGGUCCACCAUCGGAAUCUUCCAAAUAUCCCGCUCUCAUAUAGAAUUCCCGAAUUAAUUCCAAACAAUAUCCAGUUUGUUCGGGAAAGUCGCUAAUUUCAUAGAAACCCCCGGUCUCAAAUAAGUCUUGAAGACCAGGAACUCGGUCAAUCAAGUUCUGAACUCCAACGUGGCGCUCACCAAUACAGUUCUUCGAAGAGUACAUAGAGCGUCUCUUCGGAUCAACGUUGCCUUCCUGAGUACUGCGACGAGGUAGAUCAGCAGUAGAUUCGCGAAUUUCAAUACCUCCAGUCUUUUUCUUACUCCGAGAGUAUGUCAAUUUUUCCGUUCCUUUGCCUUUGGCUUUGCUCUAUCCCUUUUCUUAUUCUGUAACUACCUUUUCCUUCCCUUUCUUCUUUGUCGACACCACUUCUAGAGAAAAUGCUUCCCAAUCCGUCGACUCAGUUUCCGAUUCGUCAUCAGGAGCAUAUUCACUGCCGACAUCCUCUACCGGUGGCUCGACAUGUUGCUGAGCCGAAGUACGCCGGCGCGUACCACCACGACCACCACCAGCCAUGAGGAACACAAGCACAAGCAAAAGUGAAUACAUUUUUGGUUUACGAAAAAGAUCCCUGUUACAAUCAAGUUAAACAAAAACGCAGAUAUCAUUCAGAUUUUUCCUUUUUUAAAAAAAAAAAAACUAGGUCCACAUGAAAAAGGCAAAAUGAUGCAUCAUGAGAAGAAAGAAAAUGCAUGAGGAGAUCGAGAAUCACUAGAAUAUUACAGAGAUCAAUGAUUAGAAACAAGAUACCUAACAAAAUCUCAGAUCAAAACCCCCAAAACACAAUCUUGAAGUGUAUAUGCAAAAAGAAAACCUAAAAAGAAAACUUACCAAUCAAAGCAAAGAAAAAUGGGAAAAAGCAGAGCAAACACCCUCUGGAACCCUAGACCAGCCGUGGGAAGAGUUUUAGAGAAAAUGGUAAAGUAAGAGAGAGACCGGACCAACAAUCGUAUAUAGGCACGGGCAGAGGGACCGGUCCUUCAAGACAGGGGACCGGUCCCCGUACAAAAAAAAAUUCCUCCCCUUUUUAUUUUUUUUUUUUAAAAAAUGAUAUUCCAAUGACAUAUAAUAAAAAUUUUAUAAAUAUGGAAAACAAAAUCAAUUUCAAAAAUAUUCAAAAUGUCAAUAUUCGUUGAACAAAUAGACGAUUCAAAUUCUAAAUGGGUAUAAUGCUAAAAUCCACACAUCAAUCAAGAUCUAAAAAUUAAUCGUCUCGUAUUGUCUUCAUAAUUGCUAAAUAGAGGAAUUAAAAAGAUCCCAUAACCAGAAAUAAGAAUAAGAUGAUCAAAUGAGUUAUGCACAAAAUUACGACGAGGGAGUGGCUUCUUUGAGCGCUCUUUCAACACUCCACCUUAUAUCACCUAGGAAAUGCAUUGUAUAGUACCUCAUGCCUUAUCAUUCCAAGCACCUUUGUAACCCUUUUUUUUUUUAAAUAUAUAUAUAUAUAUCACCGGAAUAUUGUUGGCUUCUUUAUCAAUAAGAGAAUGCUUUAAACAGACGAUGUGGAUAGCUGCACACAACGUACGACGACGCCGGAGUGGUAGCUUCUUUCUCAUUCCGGUGUAGUUUUCACACUCCACCAUGAGGGAAUGUAACUUCCACCAUACUUUUGACCAUUCUAGAUUUAAGUUCCAGGAAAAACUCGCCCCUAAAUAAGUGCAACCCUCAAGUUGACAGAUGUUAUCAAUCAAGUUCAAAAAAUAGGGAUCUUUAUUCAAUACAAUAGGCUCAUUGUAGCAACUGGCACGUUUGCAAAUGGCGAGGUUCGAAGUGUGUCGAUUUAUCGAACGUGUUCCACAUCUUGGUGGAGGGCCGGAUGGUAACCGGCCUAAAGUUCGAUCUGAGAGUUAUUGGCUCGAGUCUGAGAGUUUUACUCUCGGGAGGUCCCUGAUAGGAGAGACCGGUCCCCAGUGAACAGUACUGCGUACGGCGGGCAACCGUCCCCUGGCGAGUCGACGCACCGGUCCGAGCGCGUGUCUGCGCGGGAGAGACCGGUCCCGCGAGGGGCGAACGGUUCCCAAACGUUGGAUUUUUCGGGGCCAGGUGAGAGAACCGGUCCAGGUCGGGGGUACCGUCCCUCUGGCGAAAACUGCCAGACGGGUUGAUAGCAAAUUUUGAGUUUUUGAGGCGGCCUAAUUGGAUUUUGUUAUCCUUAGAGGCUAUAUGGCGCCUUCCUCCCUCAUCCACUCUCAUUUCUCUCCCUCACACUCUCUAACUUCUAGAGAGAGAAGGAAGGAGUAAGAAGGAGAAGAAGAGAAAGGAGCUUUGCUUGAGGCCUUGAGCACCAUUUCUUCCUCAUUUCUCACUUUGGUGGCUUGAAUUUGCGGUGGUAGCUUUGUGGAGUGAUCAAACUUCACCUCAUAUUUGGUUUGAAGCUUGGAUUGGAGCUUCUCUUGAGGUUGGUAGCGUUAUAAUCCCACAUUUGAUACUGUGUUUUCCUAGUUUGCUUAGAUGAACCCAUAGAUUUUUGGAUUUAAGGUUUUAAGUUGGGGGGUUUUAAUUUGAGGCCUUGAUCUCUUUUGAAUAGCGUUUGAACUUUAUAUAGGUUGGAUUGGAAGACCCGCUACCUUCCAUUGUGAGUAUUUAGUAGCAGGGUUUUCAUUGAGAUGAAUUUAUUCCAACCCUAGCUUGAGUUGUGUAUUGAUUGAGCUAUUUUGCUCUUCGGUUUAGUUUGGUGACCUAUUUUUGAUGUUUCUAGGUACUAUGGCGUUGUGGAUACCUUCGUUUGGCGAAAUCGAGAAAUCGGAUUUUGGUGGGGUUGGCUUCGUGAAAUGGGUGCGAAAAUGCGCCACAAAUGCUCUUUCUAUUCCGAUUGUAACAUAUUUUAAGUUAUUUUAAACUGUCUAAAUGAAAUUUAUAUAGAAUUAGAAGCAUUUAACUGCAUGCCUGAUGCUAUAUGAAAUAUCCACUAUAUUAGUAGACGCAUAUAACAUAGAAUGCAUGGCAUAACGCGAAAAAAUGUUUUAUUUUUGCAAAGUGGAAAAUACAUCUCUCUUAAUAAGUUAUGACUGGAAUAUGUUCUUUGGAGCAUAGUUGCCAUGCUUUGCAUAGAACAAGGUUCAUACAAGGGGCACUUGAAACUAGUAGAACUAUUGAAAAUUGCAAGUAUGAGAAUAUUUGAUAGGCCACUAUUUAUCCGCUACAUUCCAGUUAGGGAGACAUGAAUGAACAUAAGGAUAGGCCGUUGAGCAUACUUGACACAUUCAUAUUAUUAGACAUGGGGACGGUACCUUGUGAAUAGAUCGUUCUGCCUAUUGCCUUCGUGCUCAUUUCGCACAUGUUGUGAGGCGUCCUCCCUACAACCGGCACUCGGGAAUGCCAUCGACGAUUCUAUAUUGCCGUGGGGAUGGGGCGCGCGAAGUGAAUUGCGUGACAGCUUUCCUAGGGUGGGAGUGUUGAACUUACUCACGGGCAUUAGGCUUGCACGGCCAGAACCAACCUAUCGCGUGAGUGUCUAGGGCGAUAGCAGCCUUCGGAUGGGUUCUUCAGAUUUGACUUGACGUAUUCAUCAUGAACAUGUGAGUGCGACUUAGCAGUAUUGGACUAGAGUACUGUAAUUGACAUUGACUAGAAUAGUAAACAACGGAACUUUACUAUUUCGCAUUGUGAACAUUAUGAUAGUUGGAGACUUUUACUUCAUGCAUAGUUGCUUCAUACUUAUGCUAAUUACGCUAAGUAGAGAUAUCAUGUUGUAGUAGGUUACAUUAUUUUUACUUACCUUUCGCUUUUCUACUGUUAUUGUCACUGACAUCUUUUGUAGCUUUGGGCCUCGUGGUGCAUUCACUGAAGUCAGUAAUUGCCCACUGGGAACUAUUUUUAAUAGUUCUCACGCCCCUGUUUUAUGGUUUCCUUUUCAGAGCCUUCGGCACCGGCGGAGGCACGGGAUCGCGGCAAGGGGAUCGCUUAGCUAGCUAGCGAGGAGCGGUACUUUGCCUAGGUGGUUACUCUUUCUUUUGUAGUUGAGAGAGUGAGAGGUUUUGUAUCUAUGUAUAGAGACCACCUAUGUAUCUACCUAUAGCACUUGUAUCUGGAAUUUUCUUGUAUCACUUUAUGUUUUAUUUAGUGGAUUUACCGUUUUAUCCUUAUCCCUUGUUGUAGCAUUUAGACAUUUAUUAUGCUCUGAUACUCCUAGAUGUCUUGUAUUAUUGCUUGGAAAGCCGUCGCCGAAUCUCUCGUUUUCGAGAGAGACGCGGCGCCGACUCUGCUAAUAGCAUUAGCCGUUAUUUGAGAACCGGCGCAUUGUUACGUGGCCUCUUCCUUAUCCACAAGGACCACAACGCUUAUAGUCUACUACUCUCUCUCAGUAAAAUAUAUGAAUACCCCCUCAACUAUACUUCAAUUUCAAAUCACCCCGUCAAUUUUUAAUUUUCUCUCCCGCUCACUUUUGAUCUUUUUAAAAUCGAAUAGUUUUAAUAAAAUAGAAUAUAAAGUUGCAUCAAAUUUAAUGAAACGUUUUAACUUAACGAACUAUAAAAACUUAAAUAUUAAAAAUAAAAAAAGUUGAGAGGUCAGAGGUCUUAACAAAAGAAAAAAAAAUAUAUUGUUGAGGGGGCGUCGUUAGAAUAUCUAUUGUUGUGGGGCUCUUCGUGCAUUUUUAACCCACUCCCUCUCCCUUUCUCUUUCUCAUCCGAGAGCCACGAAGAGAUCUCUCCCCCCCUGUCUCUCUAGUCUCUACUCUCUCUCUCUCUCUCUCUCUCUGAUGCGGCGAUGAGAACCGCCUCCUCCCCCGCGGCUUCUCCCAUCGCCAUGGCGAAGAACAAGAACGCCCAAUCCCACAAGGUCUCUCUCUCUCUCUCUCUCUCUCUCUCUCUCUCUCUCUAGGUUGGUUAAUUAAAUUGGGGUUAGGGCAAAUGCUCAACCUAUCCUGGUACAUUUCCUAGUUUGGGUGUGCAUUGUAGAUUGUUUCUUAUUCCUUCCCCUGAGUAGUGAAUUUGCUAAAUUAUGUGAAGUGAAAACACUCCAAAUGGUCGAUUUUGUACUAUUGGAGGCCAAAGUUUUAAUCUUUGUGUUCCUUGGUUCUUUGGAAUUCAAAUUAAAUCUAAUUGGAAGUUGGAUUGAGGGAAUUCUCCUAGUUAGAAGCCUGCACAUUUUCUAGGUUAUGAGAUGAAAUGGGUAAUGUCACGCCCCAAUCCCCGCCAAUUUGGUCGGGUUCGGGUCACGUCAACAGACGCUGAACGGACAGAGCCUCCCCUGUCCGCCCAAGGCUCUAACAACAUGUAUAAUAUAGCAAUCAAGCAAGAAGAUUAACAAUUAUACAAGGCUUGCACGAGGCGAGCAACAAUGAAAGCGGAAGCUCUAAGCUAUAAUAUAAACAUACAUGAUACUUGAUUGCUAAUUGCAUCAAAUAAAAGUAACUAAACUAUUACAUUCAUAAUUCUUUUACAUCUUUAGCCAUUCACCAAUUUUUACAUCAUUGUUUACAACUUCAAAACUCUAAAUCAACAAAGUAAAGUUGAUAUAUGUAUACAAAAGGGAAUGACUACAAAAGUAAGGAAGUCCCGGUGGCCACUAGCUAUGGCACUAUACCCUUGCCUCGGCCCUCCGCCACCCCGCUUGUGCUAGGACAUGUAGGGUUAGUGGUAAUGAGAACUAGAACAAAGUUCCCAGUGGGUUCGGCAACCGACCUCGCCGACUUACCCACUAGGUCUACCCAGGCAUAAGUAUUUCAAGGAAAGAAAAGUAACCAUUACUAAUGUAACUAAUACUAUGCCUGCAGGAAGAAGUCAGAGGAUAUAUCAAUGAUAUUAAAGCAAUAAAUAUGCAUGCAUGCUCAAUCUUUAAUUUACUUUACCAUGGCUUUUACCCAAUCUUACCGGCUAACUUUGUUAACCCCAAUCACUCACAACCCAAAUCCCUUAAUAACGGGGGACUCGAACCUCCCUAGGGACCGUCCUCUGGGGGGACUUUACCACGCCCAGUGGUGACCAACUCCGGAGCGCACCACCCGAGGGGGAACUACCACCCUCGAGACAAGACAUAUCGUGAGUAACGAUCUAAUCCUCAACUUGAGGAUUCAUAGCCACCAAUCAUAAUACUAUUGUCACAAUAGGUUUCUACCUAAUUGUUCAUGUCACAAUGCCACUAUAGUUAAACGAGGUUUAACGGCUCAUCUCAUGAUGCCAAUCAUGUCUCUAUUGUCAAAUGUCGCCUUGUUUACUAUGAUCAAGGUCCAAGUCUCUCUUACAUGCCACAUUAGGGUCCUACCAAACAUGUUCUCUUGGUUCUCUCAUUUUCUAAGUUCAAGUACGUUAGAAGCAUAAAAAUGAUUACCAACUAACAUUCACAUGAUUCUUAACCCUAACAUGCAUGACGUACUAUACAUUCAUAUGCUCAAAAAUAGAGAAAUAGACAUAAUAGGGAAUUCGAUGGUUCCGGCGUGCACCCCCCACCUUGUGAGGUGUAUGAAGAUGAUUCCGAUACUUUCCUCGCUCAACGAACGCCUACCUCGCAUCCUACAACCCAAAAGAAAGCUCAUUUUAGCCCCCUUGUACAUGAACUAUACUCUAACAUUUUCGUUUCGCGAAACGGAGUUUCCCACCGCGUUAGGAACACCCCUAAUUAGGUUUCUACGGGGUCAAUUCGUCCCCGAAAAGUCCUAGGGCAAAAACCCCAAUUUCGGUGCCCUAACAAUGCCAUAUGUGCUCAAACCCUAGAUUGAUCUCAUUGCUAAGCAAAAGAAGCUUAGAAUCAUCUAAGAAGCAUUCUAAUACUACUGCUAAGCUCUUUAAACCAUUCCUAUGGCAUCCUUUGCAAGUUCUAAGGUUCCACCAUGAGAGCACCUCAAGGUCACCAUGGAUUUCAUGGUUUCAUGGUGUUAGAGGAGUUCUAGGUUAAUUUAGAGGACCACAAACCCCAAAAAUCUAGGUUUAAACCAAACCCUAGAGUUCUACAAGCAUGAGAACUCACCUUUGCCCAAGCCCUAGCAAGCUCCUUCUUGUUGGAGAGCUCCUAGGUCCACUAAAUCCACCAAAACCACCUUCUUCUUCUUCUUCUCCACCUUCUCCACCAAACCCUGGGGUUUUUCUAGAGAGAGAAAGAGAGAAAUGAGAGAGAGAGUGUGAGGGGGUGUUUGGCUGUGAAGGGGAGGGGAUUAGGGCCAAUAACAUGUUGUAACAAUUGCAUUUAGGCCCUCCCACUUUCUAUUCUGUAGCAAGUUGACCCAUGCUGUCUGGGGCCUCUUGUACCGAUACAAGGAUUCUUGUUCCGGUACAAGGCCAAGCAGUGAGCCAAACCCGAGAGCUGCCUCUCAGUUUCGCAAGUCUUGUACCGGUACAAGGGGGCCUUGUACCGGUACAGCGCCUGGACUACACCAACCCGAGAGCUAUCUGAGCUCUGGUCGCUGGUUGUACCGGUACAACCAUCACCCUUGUACCAGUAAAAGACAUCCAGAAUGCAGUUUUUGACUUCGAUUCGGCUCUACUUCGCGCCGGUCGACGCCAAAACCAUUCUAAGUCUUUCUAAACUCAUUUUUGCCCUUCCAAACAUGUUGGAAUGCCAAUUGGAAUUCGUCCGACCAUCCUGCUCGACACUUUAACCAAUUUUGACUAAAGUUCGAUAAUCGCUUCGGGAUUUCAAUACGUUACAGGUAGCUGUCUGCUUGAGGAGUGUUUGGUCGAUAAAUCGGGCCGAGUUGUUUCCACUUUGAUUACAAUAUCGUGUUGAUAAGUGAGAGUAAGGAUUUAAGUGUUCAUCAACACAGGCCAUAUCCACCGUUACAUCAAUGAAGUGCAAAAGAUUUGAUAAUAAUAUAUAAUAUGUAAUUAGAAUAUAUUGAUGCUAUAGUGUGUCGACUGAUCGUAUCGUGCUAGCGAGUGCUCGGCACAACCCUAUGCUACAGCACUUAAAUCCUUGAGUGAUAGUUUGUGUUUCUUUUAUUGCUUUUGCAUUGAGGACAUUCUCAUUUAGAUUAAUAUGAAUCAAUUUGAAGCUAAAUGGACUUUGUUCUUUCUGUUGAAAAUUGAUUAAUAAUGUCAAGGGUGUAAUGUUUUAUUAUUGCGCUUCCAGGGUCCAGAUCAAGUUCCUCCAAGGAUUACAUCAAACGUUAAGCAGAACCUGCAAUUCUUAAAGUUGUGGAAGGUAAGAUAUUUAUGUAUCACUUUUUUUUUUGUUUUUUCUUCCCUGAAUUUGUAGAAGUCAUUAUAGCAAUACAGCUUCUCCAUUAUCUUCUCCAUUAUCUUCUCCAUUAGUACAUACAACUGCUCGAUGAGAAGGUUUUCUCCAUUAGCAGUCCUAGCCAUUAACAGUUCUAAAGUAGUUAUUUAUUGUUCUAUUCUCGCUUGCAUGCUUUCAUGUCUCUGUAUAUUGCAUGCCGUCUAUAUUUACACCAUUUCUUUUGAUCAUCGGCAACCACAACCAAGCAUUCGUGUGUGAUUAAGGUUGAUGUUGCAAAGGUUUAUGUCUCUUAUUUUGAAUUGUAGGAAUUUCAAAAGAAGAAGACAAGUACACCUAAGCUUGCCGUUAGUUACCGCAGAAAGAAGGCAGUGAAGGAAGACCUUCCAGAAGAUACAGAUCUUUAUCAAGAUCCUACUUCAAAUCUUUACUAGUCAGGCCCAUUUUUCUACUUUUGUACCUGAAUGCUUAAGGGCCUGUUUGGCCCUGGUUAAGUUUCUGGGGAAUGCCAUUUGUGUCGAGUUGUUCAGAGAAGCACUUAGAGCAUUUUCAUUAAAAUCCUCAAUUUUCUGGGGCCCAGAAGCUUAUUUUACAUUCUUCCCUCAAUAAAGUUUCAAAGUUUCUAUUUACCAAACGUCUGACUGUUGUUUCUCGAAUAGCAAAGCUAUUCGAGAACCUAGGCGUAGUGGGCUCUUGGUUCUUUCUUCUUAGCGUAAAACAUGGGAAAAAAUUAGAAUCCUAAAUUCCUAACUGAAUCUUCAAUUUUGAUCUAGCACAAAUCAGGGUUUGGACGCUGCUGUUCCGGUUUUGCUUGUCGAUGGUUACAAUGUAUGCGGCUUCUGGGCAAAGCUAAAGAAGCAUUUCAUGAAAGGAAGGCUUGAUAUUGCUCGGCAGAAGCUCAUCGAUGAGCUGAUAACAUUUAGCGUACUCAAAGGUUUGUGCUGACUGCUGACCCAAUGCUAUUACUUUUUGCGGAUUGAAAUUUUACCAUCUUCCUUUUCCUGCAUCAAUUUGAACUCAGCUAACCCAAAAAACUCACAAGGUGUCGUCUUUUAUGUAGUUAAUAAUUUAUUUUUGAAUGGCUUAUCAACUUAUACAGUUAACUUUGCGAGCUAUACAGAGGUAAAAGUUGUAGUGGUGUUUGAUGCUAUGAUGUCUGGACUUCCAACUCACAAGGAAACUUUUGCUGGGUAUGAUGAUUCUUUUGUCCCAUGUUAGUGGAUUUGUUUGUUUGAUUGUUUCAUGAGACUGUACAAACAAAACUACAAUGGAGAUUGUUGAUGGUGUAGCAAUUUGCAGAGUUUUUCUUCAUAAUACACCUCACAAUUUAAAUUUUGUUCUAGAUCUUUGGCUCAUUCAAUUAGAAGAUAAUGUGUUUAUGUUACUUGAAUGCUAAAUGGCAUGGUUAACAGCUGCAAGCAGAUUUCAAAUAUGAUCUUAGACAAUGAGAUUUUGCAGUUAUAUCAAGGCUGUAUUACCAUUGUCUAAUGUUUUGCUUCAGUUUUAUUAGACACUUCAAAAGGAAACAUUAUAGCUGACUUAAGUGUUAUUUGACUUACCAGUGUUCAUAAACAUUUAGGUUCAGUUGAAUCUGAUCAUAGUUAAUAUAUUAAACUUUCAAGCAUUAAAAACAAAUAAUUUCUUUCCACUGCAUUAAUUGUCUUUGAUUCCUUCCCACCGUAUUUACGAAUUUACUUACAAUUGAUUUAUGUGUUUUAUUUUUCUCUGGAUGGAAAAGAGAUUCAUAAAGUAAUUAUGCAGGUUAUUUCCUUUUCAACUACCAAUGCCACAUGUGCGCGUCCAGUGGAUACUCUGAAUCUAAUAGAUAAUCUACAUUCUUUUUCAUCGUUGACGGCCUUAUAAGUUGAUGCCUUCAAGUAAUGUAUGUUGUUUUUGCUUAAUGGGACAGUGUUGAUGUAGUUUUCUCAGGUGAGACAUGUGCUGAUGCUUGGAUUGAAAAGGAGGUAAGUGAUUGUUGACGUGGUUGAACAUUAAUCUGAUUUUAUCUUCUAUAUUUUGCAAAACUUACAUUGAUGUGCAGAAUAAGUAUCAGCUCUUAAAUGUGAUUAGUAUCUUUUCUUUAAAAUGUUCAGUGGCUUUCAAAUUUAUGCACGUAUACAGGUUGUAGCUCUGAGAGUGGAUGGUUGUCCAAAAGUUUGGGUUGUCACAUCCGAUGUAUGUCAGCAACAAGCAGCAUAUGGAGCAGUACAUAAUUUUCUGACUAUAUUUCAAAAACUUGCAAACUUACAAGUUUCCACUUGAUGUGCCUACUUCUAGCAGUUUAGCGUUUUAUAUGCUUACGUUAAGAUAGGUCAUUGAUUCUUGCCAUAAGACAUUGAAGAUAUGAGACAAUAUUAUGGAAAUGCAUUGAUAUCAAUAUAUUACACCAUUAGAUUUAAUUACAACUAUAUUUACUGCACUAAAUACUAGGGGUUUUUUACAAUCAUUUUUUUUCCGAACUCUUAAUUAAGAUUUAGGUUCUACAACAAUUCUUAAAUUCCAUUACCAGAUGAAUAGAAUUUAAAACAGAACUGACCAUCUUGAUGAAUUGUGGUCCUCUCCAUCCCUUGCGAACUUUCAGUGAGACGUUGUUUUGAUGGGUAACUGGUUGUAAGGCGUCUUUGAUUGAGAGAGAGAAAAGAAAAAAAAGGACAUAAGCAGCUGCACAAAGAUAGCAUAGAAAGUUUGAAAUUCAUACUUUGUCUAUGAGUAACUCUCUCUUGUGAGGCUUGCAGUCACGAUUUAUUAUAAUUAGUUCGAAAUCUUGAAGUAUUUUUAAUCAAGCAAAGGAUUUUCUAAAUUUCUCUAGUGAGCAGCGACUAAUAAUUGGCGAUAUUUACAAUGUCAAGUUAUUGGCUAUCUGCUGUAAAUUUUUAUUAUAUUCUGCUGUUUAAAAGUUCACCAGCUUAUCUAGUUCCGUGCCAGCAUGUAGAGUAUAUGAAAUCAUCUUCAAGUACAAAAACUAAUGAACUGAUUAUUGACACGUUUUAUGCCAUCAUAUAUUAUGGUCCUCUUUAUUUUUUUUCCAAAAGGUUUGACUUCUGUUGUUAUACACUGCGAUGAUCAGAAUAUCCUUGUUGAUUAAUCUGCGCUAUGCAUCUUCUAGGGUGCUUAUGUGUGGAGCUGCAAAGCAUUAGUAUCAGAGGUUAGUUAUAGCCUUGCUAAUCUAAUUUAAUUAUAGAGUCAGCUCUCUCAUCUCAAGCCAUGCAUUAAAGUCGUUUAGUCUUUUCUCUCUUUUUCAUCUAAAAUGAACAGAUAAUGAAAAAUCGAAAAUUAUAUAGCUUUCAAUUUCUUUAGUAUAUGUGUCUUCACUGUUAUUCCUUUCAUUCAUUCAUUCAUCAUAUUCCUUACUCACUCCAUCAUAAUGCAAAUUUUACCGAGUCCUUGGACAUCUGCGCCUCAAAUUUGUACAUCUGCAACCUCUCACCAUCUACUUCUUGAAAUAGGCAUACCAAUCAUUAUGAUACCAUGAUAUCGAUUCGAGACAUUAGAUGGCCCAUUAUUCAUACAGACGAAUCCUACAUAGUUUGCUUUCACAAACUUCAGGUUGUAAUUACGGAUCAUUGGCCUCUAAAAGUUAAUAUUCUGAAGCAUGGUUUCAUGGUUUCACUUUUUCGGGGAUCCAUAGUUGUGGAAUGAUCUAGUGUGCUUUGAAGUUGUUAAUUGUGGAUUAUUUUGUUUCUAUUUACAUGGCUACUUUCUUACUUUGAGCUCCUAUCUUCAUAAACUUUUAUAUUGUUCUCAUUGUGAAUCUCAUUGAAUACCUUAAUGCUUAUUAAUGUGCACUUUCGAUUUUUCACAUGUCCAACGCACGCAUUUUAUCAUUAUGUUUGUAACGGAUUGAAAUCCCGAAACGAUAAUCGAACUUUGACCAAAUUGGUUAAAGCGUCGAAAGAAAAUGAUGGACAAGUUCCUCUUAGCAUUCCAAUAGUGUUGGAAGGGCUAAAAAUGAGUUUGGGAAGACUUAGAAUGCUUUUAGCAUCAACCGGUGCGAAGUAGGGCCGAAGAAGAGCAAAAAACAGCAUUCUGGGGCUGUUGUACCGGUACAAGGGUGAUGGUUGUACCGGUACAACCAUCGCAGGCUGCGGCUGGAGGGCUCCGGUGCUAUACCAGUACAAGGUCCCCUUGUACCGGUACAAACCCGACGCGACCGAGAGACCGAGCUCUUGGGUUUGGCUCACUGUAAGGCCUUGUACCGGUACAAGAAACCCGUGUACCGGUACAAGCCGGUCUGGCAGCAACCGUGAAGUCUGCGACAGGGAAGAAGUACGGGGGCCUAUUUGCAAUUGUGUAACAUGUAAUAUGGCUUAUUUCCUGCCCCCUUUCACAGAAACACCAUUCCCUCUUCUCUCUUUCAUUUCCUCUCUUUCUCUCUCUAGAAAGCAAGGACUAGGGCUUGGAGAAGGUAGAGAAGAAGCUAGAGAAGGUGAUUUUGGUGGCUUAGGUGGGCUCUACAAGCUCUCCUACAAGAAAAACUUGGUGGAGCCUUGGGCUAAGGUGAGUCUCAAGUGCAAAUGAGUCUAGGGUUUGGUUUUAGACCAUGGAUCUUUGGGUUUUGAUCUCUUUAAAAGCUUAGAAACCCUCUAUUUGCCUUAGAACACAUGAAAACUUGAGUUUCCAUAGUGCUCUCAUGGUGGAUCACUAGGGCACCAAGUGGAUGCCCUAGGGAUGGGUAGAAUGGCUUUGUGAUGGUAUUAGAAUGCUUCUUGGGUGUUUCUAAACCAUUUUUAACUUAGCAAUGAGAUCAAUCCUUAAGCUAACCCUUUAGGGUUUGGUUAAAGCUCAAAUUUGGGGCUUUCGCCCUAGGAUUUUUCGGGGACAAAUUGAACCCGUAGAAACCUAAUUGGGGGUGUCCUAAACGCGUGGGGCAACUCCGUUAUAGUAUACGAAAAUGUUUAAAAAUAGUUAGUGUAUAUAGAGCCUAAUUUGGCACUAUUUGGCUAUAGGGCUUGGACUUGGAGUUCGUAAAGCCGAGGAAACUUCGCGAACCUCAUCUUCUACUUCAAAAGGUGGGGGGUGCACCCCGGAAUCAUCGGAUUCCCUUCUAUGUUUAUUUUCACCUUUGUUGAGCAUAUAUGUAUUUAGAUUCCAUUCAUGCAUAUUAGGAUAGUUUACAUGUGAUUGAUGGUUAAAUUUUAAUAUCUUGCUUCUAAAAUAGUUGAUUAAAAUGAUUGAAAAAGGAACCAUAGGAGACAUGUAUGUAAACCCUAUGACAUGUGUGAUUGAGAGGAUUGGACCUUGACUAUAGUAAACAAGGGUGAUAUGAACAUUAGAGACAUGGAUUGGCAUGAACUAGUGAUUGUUAAACAUAGGUUUAACCUUUGACAUUGUGACAUCGUGACAAGAAUGACUAGAAAGGAAUAUGGACAAUAGGUAGAAAACCUAUCAUGAAUAUGGUAAUUGUGGCUAUGCUUUCCCAAGUUGGGAAUUGGAUCGACACUCACGAUAAGUCUUAUGCUUGGAGGGCGGUAGCUCCCCCUCAAGCGGUGCGCUCCGGAGUCGGUCACCACUGGGCUUGGUGUAAUCCCCCAGCAGACGAUCCCCAGGGAGGUUCGAGUCCCCCGUUAUUAAGGGAUUUGGGUUGUGAGUUACUUGUGGUUAACACGGUUAACCGGUGAGAUUGGGUAUAAAGGCCAAAGUAUCUUGUGAAUUGAGCAUGCAUGCAUUAUCAUCAUUGCAUUGAUUAUAUAUCUGUCCACUGACUUGUUUUCUGCAGGCAUAGCAUUAGUUACAUUAGAAAUGGUUACUUUUCUUUCCUUUGUUAUAUUGUAAUACACUAAACUUUGCAAAUUGCGAAGUUCAAGUGUGAGGAAUGAUGUGUGGAUCUAUCCUGCAUGUUUUAAAAGGCUUGGGCAAGUUUGUGAACAAGUUAGAGAGUGAUUGGAUGGUUAAAAGCGAGAAAGUGCAUUGCUCUGGCAAAAAUCUGAGUUUUCUGCUUGCUGUACCGGUACAGCCAUUACCUUGUACCGGUACAGACUGGCAGAAUCGUGGCAGCAAGGGGCUUUUGGUCAUUUCACAUUCCAAUCCUUAUCUAUUUGACCCAGCUCGACCAGGGAUGCUUAGUGGAAGUUGCUGGAGCUCAGAGAAGGGUUUUCUUAUAUCUUCUUCUCUCUCUCUCUAAGAAUUUUCUCUCUCUACAUAAAAGCUGCCGAUUCGAGUCGAUUUCACGCUCCGGUCGACGCUCGCUGAUUGGACGACUCAAAGGAAGCUUGCAGCAAGUGGGGAGGAGGAUUUUUCUCUGAGUUCUCUGUGAGGUUAGUCCCAGAGAAACUAAAUCUCAGUUUUAGAAUCAGAAAUAGCUCAACUUCUCGCUUGUUUGUGAACUAGCAUCGGAAUUUGAUGCUUUUUGGGUUUCGCUGCUUCCACCUAACUUCGGGGCUGUUUUCAGCAGUGAAGAGGAGUUAUCUUGGUUGUAAUUUAUCAGCGAAAAGUUGUUUUAAGGUUGGACAAAAGUAGUUAGCCAUUUAUGAAACUAAUUCGAAGCUAUUUGCACUUUAAUCGCGUAACUUGACGCAGUUUGGAAUUUGUAUCUUCACAGCAGGUUUUUAAGCAAGUUGAACUAAAUUAGUGACCGUGGGGACUGGUUUAGAAGGUAUUCUAACCUGAGGUAAGCAGGAAUUUCAGUUAGACACCUAAUUUCACAAGAAUUCUGCCAUAAUAGCUUAUAUACAAGCAUAUUGACGCUGUUUUGAUAUUGUUCGCAGCGAGAGUGUGAUCAAGCUUCGGAUUGUCUUGAGUUGACUUAGAAGAGCUUUUGGGAGCUUUUGGAGGCUUAAUUUGAGGUAUUGAACUAGCCCAAACCAGGGAGUUAACCUUUCACCUUGUAGUAAUUGAGAAUUUUGCCGAAAUUGGAAUUGUAAGUACUCGGCUCGGUGCAGUUUUGUUACCUUGUUUUCAGCAGGAUUGGGAUCUUGUUGAGCUGAUUAUUGGGACAUCUUGUGACUGAUUUGGGCUUAGUACGAGGUGGGUCGGACCUAACCAGAGCAAGUGAAACUCCCCUAUGUUCUAUAUGUAUUAUAGAAAUGGUCUUAUUGUGUGCUUAUGUGAUUGAUCAAGGGUUUGCAAUUCGUCAUCACAAUGUUUAACUUCUUGAAAUGAAAUCUCUAGGAAGUAGAGGACAUUCAUGCAUAAAGUCUUUAUGUUCAUGUUGGCUAGUUAUAUGUUCCUAGAAAGUAGAGAACAAUGACAUUUUUAUGACUUUAUUUGGGAACUAGAGAACAAUGACAUUCUUAUGAUACUAAUGAUUCGAAAGUAUAGAACAUUGACAUGCUCUGUGACUAUAUUGAUGUUGCCAUGAUAGUGGAAAAGUUCCUAAUGCCAUAUGCAAUUUAGCAUUACUUUCACAUGUUUAGUACUCUAGUGGACACUAGCUAUGGUCAAUAUUUGUUAUAUUGAAGUUCCGAUUAAAGGAAACAUUACAAGUUAACUAGUGAGAAUUACAACAUGUCGAGUUAUGGACUUUGCUUGCUUGCCAUCGUGCUCAUUCGCACACGCUUGUUAGGGUCGCUCCCUACAAGCCGGCACUCCGGAGUUGGCCUACGCGACAGUUGCUCGCCCGUGCGGGAUUGGGUGCCGAAGUGGAUUGCCGUGGGGAGUGUAUACUACCACGGGGCCAUUAGGCGCGGCGCAAGCUGGACUACCUUGAGUAGGUCCUUAUGAAUGAAAUGAAAGUACUAAAUGACACCUGACAGUAAUAAAUAAUUACCAGUUACAGUGUAUAGCCGUUACUUACACAUUCGGGCUUAUGUUCGUGUUUAUGUUUAUGCUUACUGUAGUAGCUAAGCUUUAUUUAUUCAGUUAUUUCAUUACUGUAGAAAGUAUCUCGUUGCUUACAUGUUCCUUAUAUAUCAUGCAACUUACUGCUUUUACUUUCAUUCAGUACAUCAUGAGCCUAGUGGUGUAAUUCGCCGAGGCUGGCGACUUACCCACUGGGAACUAUUGUUUAAUAGUUCUCACGCCCUUUGUGUGGUUGUUUUUACAGAGCCCGCUUCAGGAGAGGCUAGGGACCGUGGCAAGGGAGUCACGUCUAGCUAGAUAUAGCAUUGGAGCAUGUUAGUGAUCACCUUGUUGCUCGGGCUUCAGCCGAGGGUGAUGUCCCUGUGUAUAGAGAGACUACCAGUAUAUAUUUGUUUUGAGUAGCCUAUGAUGUAUAUGAGUUCUGGAUCCAGAGAUUAUAGUUUUAUAUUUCUUUAUGAUGUGAAAUUUUGUGAUUGGUUACUCUUUGUUCUGUUGAUAAUGUUGUAGACUUGUACUUUGCUCUGAUAUCAGGAUAGGAUUUUUCUAUCUUUUCUUCCUUUGGAAUUGUCUUCUUGUAGACGCCUUAUAUACUGCAGGUGUAUGGCGGGUCUGUGCAUGUGCCGGUUAUGCUUCCGCUGGUAACCGGGCGUGACAUAUACUUAUGCCUGGAUAGACCUAGUGGGUAAGUCGGCGAGGUCCGUUGCCGAACCCACUGGGAACUAUGUUCAAGUUCUCAUUACCACUAACCCUACAGGUCCUAGUACGAGCGGGGCGGCGGAGGACCGAGGCAAGGGUUUAGCGCCGUAGAUAGCGGCCACCGGGACCUUUUAUAUUUUGCAUUUAGUCAUUCCUUCUGUUAUACAUGUAUCAACUGCUUUUGUUGAUUUAGAGAAUUGUAAAAGUUGUAAACAAUCAUGUAAUAUUUUGGUGGAUGGCUAAUGUAAAAAGAAAUGAUGAAUGAAUGAAAGAAUGUAAUAGUUUUAUUUACUUGUAUUUGGUUUAAAUUUAAUCAAAUAUCAUGUAUGAUGUAUAUUUUAGCUUUACAGCUUUCGCUUCCGUUGUUGCUUGCCCUCGAGCAAACCUUGUAUUACAUAUGCAAAUCUUUUUGAUUGCCUAUCUAUACAUGUUGUUAGAGCCUUGGGCGGACAGGGGAGGUUCUGUCCGUUCGGCGUCUGUUGACGUGACCCGAACCCGACCAAAUUGGCGGGGAUUGGAGCGUGACAAUGUUUGUUUCUACGUUACAUACGUCAUAUUUUCCUCUGUCAAACUAGCACUAACUUUUCUCUUGGUUUUGCAGAUAAAGGCUUCGGAAAAAGAGUUUCAAAAUGUGCUUAACAAACAACAGGUUUGAGAUAGUUUUUUUUUUAUGUUGUUCUUCAAUGUUAUGAUUUGGUUUAGCAUUACAUUUGUAGUUAGAUGAAUUAUAUCUCAGAAAAUUUCUACAUAGAUUAUUACGGUUUGUUAGGUAGGCGAAAACAAAAAGUUUCUUUUUUGGUGAAAAUAUGAACAUAUUUUAUACAAAAACCGACUUCAGUAUUUUAUGAGCAGAAAGUGAGAAGGCUUGAGGGGAAAUCACAGGAGGUGCAAAAAGGGGGAAAAAGAAAAAAAGAACUGAAAGAAACAGAUGGGAUAUAGCUUUUUUAUAUGAUCCACUUCUCAGUGAACACCAGUCUUACAUACCCUUAGUAGUCCUACUUUUAACUUUUGGCUAAAUUUUCUUCCACAUGCGUUGAUUUUUUGCCACAUGAUGUUGAAUAUUUCAUUACUUUUAAUCUUAGGAACUCCAUAAUGCAUUUUACCAAUAAACCAUUCUUUUACGAGCGAUUCGCACAUUCUUCAUUUCGAAUCAUGCUGUUGGUCUUCGAUUAGAAGCACUUCUGGUUUUUCAGCAGUUGCUUUUCAAAAGUACAUAAAAUUUUUCUAAAGAAAAUUCUCUCGUUCAACUUGCAGGUCAACUUCGGUGCAAGGGAAACUGCUUCAGCAUAAUCUGGGCUGCGAUGUAGUCGAUGCGUUGAAGGAUCUCAAGAAAAAGCUCUCUGAAGUCUGAGUUGACGCAGCUACCCUUUUCUGGGAUGGACUAACAAAGCUACUUCGAAGGUGGACGAAUCGCCAAUCAUAAUUAAGGGAUGUUACUAUAAUUAUCAAUUGCUGACCGAAUCACCGGGACAAAAAAAAAAGAAAAAGAAAGAAAACAGAGGAGGGUGUUUGAAAGAAAUUUGAGGGCAUCAGGAUUCAGUAUUUAUACCUUUGGCAAUGAGAGUUAACCAGGUCGGUUGAGUUUGCUGUACUUAUCUGUACAAUAAAAUCAGAGAAAAAAAGGGGGGAGAAAAGGAUAAUUCGAGUUUCGUAUCAAUUGGGCAGAUUAUAUGUCCCACAUGUUGUAUGAAUGAACUUAAUUUUCUGUGGGGCUUUUUUGGCAAAUGGUCCCCUGAAAAAAUUUUAUUUUAAAAAUAAUUCUGUUAAAAUUUAAUUUGCAAAAAUAGUCCUGACCCUGCCACGCAGGUACAACUUCAGCGUCACGCGAGCAAGGCUGGGACUAGUGUGUUAAGUUGAACACAGUAAAUCAUUCACCGUAUUUCGUAUUUUAUAUAUAUAUUCCUUUUCUUCUCUUUUAGGGAUGUCAAUGGGUCGGGUUUGGAUUUUCGAACCCGGUGGGUUUCAAAAAUUCAUACCCAUAUAACUUUAAUAUAUGGAUAUGGGUAUGGAUUUUUAAAAGUCGUAGGGCUCGGAUUCGUGUUCGGAUUUUAAUUUGAUUUUCGGAUUCGAUUUCGGAUUUUUUAAAAUCCAAUCCAAACCCAACCCGUUGACAUCCCUAAAAGAGAAGAAAAGAAAUAUAAAUAUGAAACACGAUAAAUCAUUUACCGUGUUCGAACACGAUGAAGGGUUCAUUGUGUUUGAACACGGUGAAUGGUUCAUCGUGUUUGAACACGGUGAAUAGUUCAUCAUAUUCAACUUAACACACUGAUCUCAAUCCUGCCUGUGUAGUACUGAUGUGACGCCUGCGUGGCAGGAGCAACAUUAUUUUUGCAAAUCAAAUUUUGAUAAAAUUAUUUUUAAAAUAAAAAUUUGUCAGUGGGCUAAAUUAAAAAAAAAAAAAAGGCCUUUUUCUGUGUCAUUUGUUGUGCUAGCAUAUUCUGAUUACAUAAGCAUAAUUUGUGGAACUCUUUGAAAAGGCAUUAAUAACUUUAUUUCUAGAUGAAAUUCAAGGUUUAAAUAUUGAGGACCAAAGUUUCGCCCAAAGAGAACUCAAAAUACCCAAAUCCAAAUCUGGAAGGAACCUUCAAUAAGUAAUUAUGUUGCUUCAAUGAAUAUGGCCUCAAAAGAACUGAAUAUAUUCAGCACAAAACAAAUUCAUACGCAAGGCAUAAACGCCAUUGCAAAGAUAAUUAAAUUUCCAAAACUGGGAAUACAGGUGAUUAAGACUUGCAACAUAAAUAUCACAAUUUGUGGAUGCCUUUUACUCAUUUCACAGAGGGAGGGGUGAAACAGAAGAAAGAUAAACAGGAACUGCUCACUCACCAAAAUUUUUCUGUACAAGGGGAUUAAACAUUUAUGCUUGAGCCUGCAAAAUCGUGGUCCCGCUUAUUUUUAUCGAGGAUCUCAGAAACUUCGGUUUAACCCUAAACCGAUCAAUUUGUUCAGCUCCAUGAUCAUCAGCUCUGCAGUCAUCAUCACCACUUGGAAACCUGCUUUUGGAUUUUCGAGUUGUGAGACGACUUACCCCCUUUGUCCUUGUAAGAGUUUCUCGAGGCCAAAGCCCUUCUCCCACGUGCGGCGGCAACAGCUCGCUUUCUCUGCUUGUUGAGGCGCUUAACUAGUUCGGCAUCACCACUUCCAUCGUCAUCAUCAUCUGAAUUAUCCAAAUCAUUGCUAUCUUCCUGGAGGAGAGGGGAAAAAAAUUGCCGACCUACUUAGAAAAGAAUAGUUCGUAGAAGCCACAUGAACAAAGUGACAAGUUUGGGCACAUCCUUUACAUUAAAUCUUUUACCCAAAAAAAAAGGGCAUCGCACCAUCAUAAAAAGAUAAAACUCAAGAAAAGCAAUCUAAAUUCAUGACUGAUAACACCAAUACCUUUACCGAAGUAGGGGAUGGAUCGAGCCGCGAGCUCGAGCUAGUUAACUCGCAUCAAAUUCGGCUUGAAAUUAAUUUCGAGCACCUAAAUUAACGCUCAACUUUGGAUUGAAAUUAAAUUCGACGCCGAGCUCGAGCGAGCCUAUUUCCAAAUCCCGAGCGAGCUCGAAGCGCCUAAACGGCGCUUGAAAUUCUAACCAUUAUACGAUCAAUAGUUUAAUUGUAUUAGAACAUUAUUUAUAUUUGAUACAAAAAUAUAGUCUAAUAUUUUCAAGUACAAAUAUAUAUAAAUAUAUAUUGUAUUAACAUAUGAAAAAAAAUUAUAAUUUAUAAUUGAAUAUCCUAAUUUUUCGUCACACAUGCUUUUCUCUUCGGCUUCAAUCUCAUAAUUCAUUUUCAUUUAGCAGUCAAAAAAAAUAAAUAUUAAUAAUAUUGAUUAACUAUCAAUAUAAUCACUAAAUAAAUUAAAAAUUUUUAUCUACUGAAUUAGAUAAUUUUUAUUUAAGAAUAUUCUGUAUAUUUCUCAACAGUCCACAUUAAUAGCCAGUAGGCAACGCGGGAUUAUUGAUGUUACUUGGUAAUUAGAGGGCUUGCUUGAUGCCAUAUAGGUGAGAGACAGAAAAAAGAAAGAGAAAAAUAAUGAAAAUUUAGGAGCCUGUGACGAAAGAAAGACAAAGAAAGAAGGCAAAAUAUAUAAAUUUAGUCCAAAUAUUUUGCUCUUUUAUUGUUCUAUUGGGUUUGUUUUUAUGGCGCAACAACAUUGCCGAUUUUAACUAAACUCAUAGAUUAUUCACAUCAGGCUAUAUAUUACCAUUAACCAUCAAUCUAUAUCAUAAUAUUUUUUAAUAUAUAAUUAUUAGAGAGAGAGAGAGUGGUAGACACUACUGCCUGCUAAUCGAAAAAUGAGAUUAAUGUUUUUGAUUUUUGACUCUUUGAUUAUAAAAUUGAUGGUUGGCGAUGGAUUGCGCGUCUCCCUGGAUAAAUAAUACUUUAGCGAUUAAGUGGUCCCUACAAGGUAAUAAUAAUGAUAUAAUUCAAAUAAGAAACGAUUAAAAGGGAUGAUCUAAGAAUAAAAAAUCGAAAGCACCAUAUCUCAUAUACUUUCGAUAGCAGUAUGCUCUAUUAUAUAUAUAUAUAUAUAUAUAUAUAUAUAUAUAUAUAUAUAUAUAUAUAUAUAUUCGAGCUUUUCGAGCUUUUCGAGCCUAAUUCAAACGAGCCGAGUAAUACUCAAGCUCGGCUUGAAAUGAAUUUCGAGCCUUUUUUUUUGCUCAAGCUCGGCUCAUUUAAUUUCGAGUCGAGCUCGAGCGAGCCAAAUAUCGAGUCGAAUGCGAGUCGAACACGAGCCGGCUCGCUCAUUUGCCAGCCCUACUUCCGAGCUAAACUAUUCCCACCGUCUACCAACAGGAAUCUCUUGAUUUUGAGGUCCAUUACUCAUGAAUUGAAAAAUAAAAUACAAAUUAACCAUCCAAUAAAAGAUUUUUCCUAGACUUAACAAAAGUAUCAAGCAUCUGAAGAUCGUUGUCUGUGAAGGGUUUUACUAGCAUAAAUCAUAAAGAUCUAUAUUUUAUGCCAAUGUUACUAUCCUUUCAUGAGGACAUGAAUAGUGUGUCCUCCCAACUUUUUAGCUCUUGGAUGCUUUAGUGGGGGUGAAUAGCAUUUGAUCCAAAGACAAUAUUCAUGUCCUCUUAUGAGGACCAUAGAUGGGCCCUAAUUUUGAAGCCUCGUCAUGUAUUUGACAACAGCAGUACACGUGCGAAUUCAUGUCAGUAACAGCUUCAUGCACAAAACCAAGCCUAGGGUAGGUAGCACAAAAAAUGAAAAAUACAAACAAAAUAUUAAAGAUCUGCAUGCACUGAAAGAUAACCCUUAGCUAAGGCUCACGCUACACCAUAAUUCCCUUACAGAGAGAAACAGAUUAAAAUUGAAAUUGAAAUAGAUAGCAAGAGCGUGAGAGCAAGAGCAAGCACGCGCGCGCACGCGAGAGAGAGAGAGUAGAUAAAAGUACCUGCUCUCCUGAUGCCGUAGGUUCGUUCUCCCUGACAACUUUCACAUUACAUGAAUCUAGAUUUUCCUCCACUCUGUCUUCAUCAUUGCAAUAUGAGCUUUUAACUUGCUGAAAAACAAAGAGGGAAAAAAAAAAAAGUACUGUAACAUCAGGAGGUAUCAAAAUAGGAAAGGAACAUAGCAUCAGUUUUUUCAGUAUGAUUGAACUAGAAAACCUCCCGAUCGAAAGUUACAAGUUUUGUUGGAAACACUCUAGUCUAAGCGUAUUUAUCACAAAUAAUCACUUCUUAUUGCAACAAUUCUCAACAGUCAAAUGAGAGCAUUGAUGUAUACUACCAAAGACAGUGAAACUAAAAUAAUUUAUAUAGUGCACCCAAUUAGUGGAUAGAUUCAGCAUCAAUUUAUACAGAUUCUCAAUUCCAAGUAUAUAGUAAGAUAGAUAUUUUGAGUCGCAAACCAGCACCGGCCACCUCUCACUUAUGCUAGAAUAUUUUAACGUCCCACUACAAGUUCAACUUCACAAAUAAUUGAAAUAUAACUCUUUUAGACAUUUUGAAUCUCAUUUCUCUAUCUUUUGCAGCAUAAAGGUGUGUGCUCUUNNNNNNNNNNNNNNNNNNNNNNNNNNNNNNNNNNNNNNNNNNNNNNNNNNNNNNNNNNNNNNNNNNNNNNNNNNNNNNNNNNNNNNNNNNNNNNNNNNNNNNNNNNNNNNNNNNNNNNNNNNNNNNNNNNNNNNNNNNNNNNNNNNNNNNNNNNNNNNNNNNNNNNNNNNNNNNNNNNNNNNNNNNNNNNNNNNNNNNNNNNNNNNNNNNNNNNNNNNNNNNNNNNNNNNNNNNNNNNNNNNNNNNNNNNNNNNNNNNNNNNNNNNNNNNNNNNNNNNNNNNNNNNNNNNNNNNNNNNNNNNNNNNNNNNNNNNNNNNNNNNNNNNNNNNNNNNNNNNNNNNNNNNNNNNNNNNNNNNNNNNNNNNNNNNNNNNNNNNNNNNNNNNNNNNNNNNNNNNNNNNNNNNNNNNNNNNNNNNNNNNNNNNNNNNNNNNNNNNNNNNNNNNNNNNNNNNNNNNNNNNNNNNNNNNNNNNNNNNNNNNNNNNNNNNNNNNNNNNNNNNNNNNNNNNNNNNNNNNNNNNNNNNNNNNNNNNNNNNNNNNNNNNNNNNNNNNNNNNNNNNNNNNNNNNNNNNNNNNNNNNNNNNNNNNNNNNNNNNNNNNNNNNNNNNNNNNNNNNNNNNNNNNNNNNNNNNNNNNNNNNNNNNNNNNNNNNNNNNNNNNNNNNNNNNNNNNNNNNNNNNNNNNNNNNNNNNNNNNNNNNNNNNNNNNNNNNNNNNNNNNNNNNNNNNNNNNNNNNNNNNNNNNNNNNNNNNNNNNNNNNNNNNNNNNNNNNNNNNNNNNNNNNNNNNNNNNNNNNNNNNNNNNNNNNNNNNNNNNNNNNNNNNNNNNNNNNNNNNNNNNNNNNNNNNNNNNNNNNNNNNNNNNNNNNNNNNNNNNNNNNNNNNNNNNNNNNNNNNNNNNNNNNNNNNNNNNNNNNNNNNNNNNNNNNNNNNNNNNNNNNNNNNNNNNNNNNNNNNNNNNNNNNNNNNNNNNNNNNNNNNNNNNNNNNNNNNNNNNNNNNNNNNNNNNNNNNNNNNNNNNNNNNNNNNNNNNNNNNNNNNNNNNNNNNNNNNNNNNNNNNNNNNNNNNNNNNNNNNNNNNNNNNNNNNNNNNNNNNNNNNNNNNNNNNNNNNNNNNNNNNNNNNNNNNNNNNNNNNNNNNNNNNNNNNNNNNNNNNNNNNNNNNNNNNNNNNNNNNNNNNNNNNNNNNNNNNNNNNNNNNNNNNNNNNNNNNNNNNNNNNNNNNNNNNNNNNNNNNNNNNNNNNNNNNNNNNNNNNNNNNNNNNNNNNNNNNNNNNNNNNNNNNNNNNNNNNNNNNNNNNNNNNNNNNNNNNNNNNNNNNNNNNNNNNNNNNNNNNNNNNNNNNNNNNNNNNNNNNNNNNNNNNNNNNNNNNNNNNNNNNNNNNNNNNNNNNNNNNNNNNNNNNNNNNNNNNNNNNNNNNNNNNNNNNNNNNNNNNNNNNNNNNNNNNNNNNNNNNNNNNNNNNNNNNNNNNNNNNNNNNNNNNNNNNNNNNNNNGAUUCGCCAAUUAUUCGGAUACGUGAUUUAUACGGAUAUUAUACGUUCACCAAUUAAAAAUUCGGGAUAAAAAAUUCGGCUAUUAAAUUAAAUUUUUUUCCUCUCAAAAUUUAUGCUAUUAGCAUAAAUACUCAUAUUUUUUAAAAAAUAUAAGAAUAAAAAGCUAUAAAAUUAAACUAAUUAAGUAAAAAAAAAAAGUAAACUAUAUUAUUCCUCAAAAUAAAUAAAUAAUUAAGCAAAUAAUUGAUCAAGAUAGUCCAUAUUUAAAUGUAAAAGCUUCCAACUUUUGCUUUGAAGAAUGAAAACUCAAUUAGUACCUGGUCCCAAAGUUAUGUUUUAAAAAUUAAGUAGAAAUCCCAGUGAGUCAAUGGUCCAUGAAAGACCACAACAAAAUUUCCUUUUGCAAGUGUCGACAAAGAUCAUGAAAUUGAUUAGGUAUAAUACAAGAGUUCUGUUACGACCAUUGCAUCAGAUAGAAGAGUAGGGUAAGUAGGCGGAGUAGAAGGGUGAGACGCGAGAGGAUCGAAGGUGAAGAAGAACAGUGGCGCGGCGGCGAAAUCUAUAGAAGAAGGGUUAUCGGGCAAUGGGUUCGUGUUACCUCACUGUAGCAUCACCGCGCCCGACUCCGAACUCUGGAUCAGCUAAUGGGUGACGGGCCAUCUCUGGAACAGUGUGGAGCCAUAGCGGGUAAUGGUUCCGCUUAACUCUUACUCUGUGACACCGACCCGAAUCCGGAAGGUUUAGAGAGAGACGGUUGAGCUGAAGCCAGUGAAGGAGCCCAGCCCAAGCCAGGAUUAGGCCCACUAUAGUCCACUGAGUGUAAUUACAAUUACAGUUUAACCCUCGCCAUUGUAAUUCUUACAUUUUGAUCCUCACGCUGAGGAGUAUAAGUAGCAACUCACGCCUGUAACAAACUAUGAGAAAUUUGAAUAAAAAUUCCCCAAUUCUCCCCAAUCCUCUCCUCUUCCCCACUCUUCUCCAUUCUUCUUCUUCUUCUUCCCCAUCUCACUCCUCAUCUCAGAUCUAUUCUUGCUCCUCUAGCUCUUCCACUGAUACCAACGGGUCUGGAUUCAGUCAAAUUUUGAAUCCCAUCAUCUCUUCUUCUUCGAUCCUCUGUGCGCAACUUCAUCGGAUCAAAGAAUCAGAUCAGGUAAGCGAUACAUCAUUCCAUUUCGCCUUCCUACGAUUAGUAUCGGGUUGCGAAAGGGUCAGGAUCGUAACAAGUUCCUGGUCCCAAAGUUAAUUAAGAUUAUUUAUUUAGCACUAUGUUUGGGUCUUCUUUGUGCAUAACAGAGAAUGGACACAUUCAAUUAAGCACUCAGCCACUUGUGUAUAAAACAAUCCAUCAGAUGACUAAAAGCUUCCAACUUUUUCUUUGAAGAAUGAAAAAAACUCAAAACGUACCUACUUGGGUUUGUAAAGAACCACCCGGUUACUGAUCUAUCGUUGGAUAGCGGAAGCGGGAGAGGAAGCGGAAGCGGAAGAGGAAGAGGCGACGAGGAGGGUUUCGAUUCCUGAAGAGUGAAGAACCCGAUCUUCGAUCUUCGAUUCCUGAAGAGGAGGGCUUCCGAUGGCGUUCGGCGAGCGGCCGGAAGGGAAGAGGGAGACCGCCGCAGGGGUCAAUGGCAGGGCCGCACCGCCGCAGGAGUGAGAAGUUAGGGCAAACCUUUUUUUGGGAGGGGUGGGGGUGGGAGCGUGGGAGUCGUCGCCUCGUGGGAGGGGGGCGAUGGUUUUCAGAAAUCCUUUCUUUUCUUUUUUCUUUUAUUUCUUUUGGGCGAAAGGUUCUUUUUCCUGUUUUGGGCCACCGCGAGGCCCACAAGUCCGCUCACAGUCGCAAGCAAGAGGGCCGUUUUUUUAGGCCGAAUUAUUCGCGAAUCCCGUUUUAUUCGCGAAUAAUUAUUUUUGCUCAAAAAAUCACGAAUUAUUUCGAAUUUUUGACAAAACUUCGAAAACGGGUGUUUAAUUCGGCAUUUCAAAAAUUCGCAAAUAAUUCACAAAUAAUUCGCGAAUUAACUAACUAUGAGAAGAAGGGGAGGUGAACAGGGGCGUCAACGAGCCGAACGAGCUGGGCCGGGCUCUUGUUCGGCUUGUUUAAUAGACGAGCCGAGCCGGCUCAUUAAAGUAUGGAGCUGAAAAAUUCAGCUUGUGCAUGAGCCGGUUCACAAGUUGACCAACAAAUACUAAGUUAAGGAUUCGUUUGAUUCGAAUAUAAGUAAAAACUNACCAAAUAGUCUCGCUUAGACUUGACGGCCCUGAAAGAGACCCUACCCAGCCUAUGCAGCUUCAUCGCGAGAACCGUCCCAUCUUCCGUGGCAACCUCAAAUAUAUCUGUAAUCACAAAGAGGCGCAUUACCUACAAGCAUGAUAGAAUGGCACUAGUGCCCAACCUCCUCGUGAAGUUUCAAUCUAGUUUUCGACAUAUUCAAUUUUUACUAUCUGGUCCCUAAUUAAUACGUUCCCUUUAAUCUUCACCCUUAUGUUGAAUUUCUCUAUUAGAAUGGAUGGAAAAUAUCCAAGUAGCCACCACACAAAACAAGACCGACUGUAAUAAAUAGAGAGAGGGGCUGAACAAUCACUUACGCGGUAUUACAAUAGAACACGUGAAAAUAUUUGUUAGUUUCAACAGAGAAAUUUAAUGGGAGCUCUACAAGUGUACCAUAAUACAAAAUUUACACACCUAAUUGUGAUUAGUGUAGUAUCAAGGACUCAUAGGACAAUUAAACUCGAAAGGAAAAGGAACCAUAAAGCAGAAACUCUGGAAAAUAUAAUGAAAUAAAAGUUCCAAAAAAAAAGGCAUACCCGACUCCUUUCCAACACCAAUUUGACGGCCUACGGCAGCAAAUACACCGCGAUUGACAAGGGUCUUGAUUGCGAGGAAAUCGUACCCAAGAUAGGUGAGCCGAAACCCAUCAUCUAAAUUGCAAAUAAAAAAAAAAUUUCACUCAGAACAGCACCCAAGAUGCAAUUUUGGAGCUACUUACAAUUACAAGAACCAGUAAAUAGGCCUUAAACUACUCACACUUUGAUGAAUCAUGAUGCACCAGUUUGUGCUUCAGCAGAUUCCUCAGCACCUUAGACGUUCCCCCAUGUCUUUAAAACACAAGAAAGUAACAUAAUUUAGCAUAUAUUUAGCACAAAAAAAUCAUAAUUAUUAUAAAAACUAAAGGGUUAAUUGCAUACAGCUCGCUGUAAACAUAUUAAAUAGCAAAUAUAUCCCUGCAAAGUUUAACUUUUAACUUUUAUCCCUACAAAAUUUUCAAUGGUAAUCUUCUUCCUCAUCUUCUUCUUCUUCUUUAAAACCAAACCCAAUCCACAAUUGUUGCAUCCUCUUCUCUCACUUUUUUUCUCCUAAACUUUUUUUUUAAUAAAAUAAAAAAAAAUUAUAGAGGAAAUUGAAUAGGAAAACAACACACAUUAGGCUAAGCAACAAACGUCAUGGAUAAAUAAGGACGGAGAAAUUCUAGUUACGGGUUCGAAACUAGCAUGAAGGAGAGAGAGGAAGAGAGAGAAGAGUUUCCAUUACUAGGGUUUCGAUUGAGAGAAUAAGGUAUAAUAUAAGAGGGGUAAAAAUAUCAAUUUACCUCAUUAACUAAUCAAGAUUAAGUAUUUUUAACUAAAUUUUUCUUACUAACUAAUCAAGAUUAAGUAUUUUUAACUAAAUUUUUCUUAUGGAUCCUAACAGCAGGGACAUAUUUGAAAAUAUAAUAACAUAAGAAAGUUGAUAAUUGUAGGAAUAUAUUUACAAUGUUUACAGGGACCUCUAUACAAUUAACCCAAAAUUAAAUCGCAAUCUAAAUCUAUAAACGAAGAUUAACCUAACCUUAGCCCGGCGAUCCUCUCGACGAGCUCCGCGGGAACGAUCUCGUGCUGAAACCGAGCGUUAAACAAGAUGAAUUCUCUCGUUUACUCCAAAUUGAAUUGAAGAGGUAGAAUUAGAGAUCACGAGAGAGAGAGAGACUGAGAAAGGAGGAGGAGGAGGAGGAGGAGGAGGGAUAGAUAUACGUACGUUCCUCAUACCCAUCUCCACGGCUGUGAGGACCCUGAAAUCGUCCUUGGAGAGGUACCUCAGCGCGUCUACGUCGAGCUUCAUGGUGGCGGAGGUGGUGGCUCUGCUGGAGGGGCGGCGCUAGGGUUUUGGAAGAGCUUUUUAGUGCAAUAGUCUUUUUCUACACAUUUAUUCUAAAAUUAAAUCUGUUAAAUUUUUAUUUAUAAAUGUAGUCUUAUGAAAGCGGUGAAUCAUUCACCGCUUUUAAAAGCGGUGAACUAUUCACUGCUUUCUUUAUUUUUUCUCACUUUUUUCUAUAUUUUUACAAUGAUAAAAGCGGUGAAUGGUUUACCGCUUUUAUUUCUUUUCUACUCCUAAUGAGAAGUUAUAAAUGCGGUGAAUCAUUCACCGCAUUUAGAGGUCAAUUUUUAUAAUUAUUUUUUUAACAAAAUUAUUUUUAUAAUUAUAAAAAUUAAUAAGAUUAUUUAUAAAAAAAAUUCGUUUUGGAAACUCGCGGAAUAAGGGUUCUGAAAACUCGAGAGGAAGAAGAAGGGGAGGUGAAUAGGGGCGUCAACGAGCCGAACGAGCUGGGCCGGGCUUUUGUUCGGCUUGUUUAAUAGAGGGAUAAGAAAAAUAGCGUUUGAAUGAAAAUUGGAUUGAUCCCGAAAUAAAAAAAAGAGCGUUUGGAUAGAUAAUAUAAAAUAAGAAAAAUAGUGGAUAGUUAUAUAUAAAAAAUGAAGGUGUUGGUGAGAAUAAUUAUACUAGCUUAUUUUAUAUACCCGAGAACUACUAUUCUCGAGUAAAAAAUUUGCGUUCUCUUUAUCUCCGAUCGAAAAUGUACCUAAAUGAAUUAGAUUGGAUAUAUAAAAAAAACAUAAAUUUAUAAAAUCUUAUCUAUUAAACUUUGAUCUAUUUACAAUGUUUACAGGGACCUCUAUACAAUUAACCCAAAAUUAAAUCGCAAUCUAAAUCUAUAAACGAAGAUUAACCUAACCUUAGCCCGGCG
rnacentral:lncRNA from 1 species